GCUGAUGUCCAAGAAUAGGAGAAAAUAAAUGGAGAAAAGAAGGAGAGAAUAAAUUCAUUCUUCCUCUACCUUCUUGCUUUAUUCUGGCCCUCAACAAUUGGAUGACACCCACCCACAUCAAAGACUAACUUGAUACGGUUCAGCUGACCUGUAAGGGCCUAGAAUCACCAAAUCCUAGAGUUGCAGGGACUUCAAAAUCCAUGCCAGAGAUAGUCUCCUGUGUUACUCCUGUGUUGUCAGCGGCUACCUGGUAACACCCAGCUGGAACCUGCCCGUGUCUAGCACCUCACUGAGCUCAUGUUAUACAGCCCUCUCACUAUGAGGCCCGGACAGGCAGGCCCAUGCACAGAAAAAAGUGAGCAAAUGCAAAUAAGACAAAGAAGCUAAGAUUGCCCACCAUGCAGAGCUCAGAGGUAGCUGCUAUUAACAUCCCUCCACAUCCUUUUCUUUUCAAGUUUAUACAGUAACAA